UACAGAGGGGGCAAGCGUUGUUCGGAAUUACUGGGCGUAAAGGGCGCGUAGGCUGCCUUCUAAGUCGAACGUGAAAUCCCCGGGCUCAACCCGGGAACUGCGUCCGAGACUGGAAGGCUCGAAUCCGGGAGAGGGAUGUGGAAUUCCAGGUGUAGCGGUGAAAUGCGUAGAUAUCUGGAGGAACAUCGGUGGCGAAGGCGGCAUCCUGGACCGGUAUUGACGCUGAGGCGCGAAAGCCAGGGGAGCAAACGGG
rnacentral:rRNA from 1 species